ACGUAUGGGGCUAGCGUUGUUCGGAAUUAUUGGGCGUAAAGGGCGUCUAGGCGGGGGAUUAAGUUAGGUGUGAAAUCCCUGGGCUCAACCCAGGAACUGCAUCUAAAACUGGUUCUCUUGAGUUCGGGAGAGGAGAGCGGAAUUCCCGGUGUAGCGGUGAAAUGCGUAGAGAUCGGGAAGAACUCCAGUGGCGAAGGCGGCUCCCUGGUCUAGAACUGACGCUGGAGCGCUAAAGCGUGGGGAUCUAACGG
rnacentral:rRNA from 1 species